CCUACGGGAUGCAGCAGUGGGGAAUCUUAGACAAUGGGCGCAAGCCUGAUCUAGCCAUGCCGCGUGAGUGAUGAAGGCCUUAGGGUCGUAAAGCUCUUUCGCCUGUGAAGAUAAUGACUGUAGCAGGUAAAGAAACCCCGGCUAACUCCGUGCCAGCAGCCGCGGUAAUACGGAGGGGGUUAGCGUUGUUCGGAAUUACUGGGCGUAAAGCGCGCGUAGGCGGACAUUUAAGUCAGGGGUGAAAUCCCGGGGCUCAACCCCGGAACUGCCCUUGAUACUGGGUGUCUUGAGUUCGAGAGAG
rnacentral:rRNA from 1 species